CCUACGGGUGGCAGCAGUGGGGAAUAUUGGUCAAUGGACGAGAGUCUGAACCAGCCAAGUAGCGUGAAGGAUGACGGCCCUCUGGGUUGUAAACUUCUUUUAUAUGGGAAUAAAAUGUUCCACGUGUGGGAUUUUGUAUGUACCAUAUGAAUAAGGAUCGGCUCGCUACGUGCCAGCAGCCGCGGUAAUACGGAGGAUCCGAGCGUUAUCCGGAUUUAUUGGGUUUAAAUGGAGCGUAGGUGGAUUGUUAAGUCAGUUGUGAAAGUUUGCGGCUCAACCGUAAAAUUGCAGUUGAAACUGGCAGUCUAGAGUACAGUAGAGGUGGGCGGAAGUCGUGGUGUAGCGGUGAAAUGCGUAGAUAUCACGAAGAACUCCGAUGGCGAAGGCAGUUCACUGGACUGCAACUGACACUGAGGCUCGAAAGUGUGGGGAUCAAACAGGAUUAGAUACCCCUGUAGUC
rnacentral:rRNA from 1 species